rnacentral:lncRNA from 1 species
AAAAAAUUAAAAUGAAAAAAUCGUAUAUUUCAUUGUUAUUCCUUAUAUUUAAUUUUUGCUAUUCGGAACUGGCAUAUACCAAUGGUAAUGAUGAUUUUGAAAAAGGCAUAACGGAUGAUAGUAAUAAACAUAACGCUGAAAAAAUAACUAAGAAUAUAAAAGGCAAAACGAGACAAGAUAUAAGUGAUGAAGGAGCUGAUAUACUGGAUACAGAUUCGAAUACAGAGACAAAAAAAAAAGCUGGAUAUACGUUAGAUAAUGGUUAUGAAGAUUUAAUUAGUUAUCUGCACACACGUGGAAGCCACAUUACAUCUAACUUUUUUCAUAAUACCGCUAAUAUAGGUCGUUUAUUUACGACAAAUAUGAAUGACCUAUCUCCACUUGAGAAUAUGGGUUACUCAGUACUCUUUAUUAAUUAUACUAAAAACGAUCAGGAAAACGUAAACAAUAGUAUUAAAGGAAAUUUUUUUACAUGUCAAAAUAUUAACGAAAACAAUUGUGAUCAAACUGUUUCUAAUUCAUAUGAUCUUACUGCUCUCAAUGACGAAAAAGAUAAGCAUUAUGAAACCAUACGUACGCUAUCGGAUAUUUACACUACACAUAUAGAUAUCAAAGACACAAACUUUAAAUCAGGUUACGUCGCACAACUUAUAACGUACGCUAAAGAGGAAAUAAAUGAAGAAACAUUUAUUUCAUUAAAAGGAAAUAUUUUCAUAUGUGUAGGAAAAAUCAAUAGUUCAACAUGUAUAAUAAAAUACCCAUAUAAUGUGAGUCACGAUUAUCCAAAUUUGUGUGAGAAUUUUGAAUCUAUGCAAAUCCGUAUAACUGUUGAAUCUGAAAAACAGUGUAAUUAUCAAAAUCACAAAACCUUAGUAGAACGUCCACAUACAGACCCAUAUGGAUUGGUCUUAUCAACUAACCUACCUUUUGAGGUAGAUUAUCCAUACAAUUUUAGUAAACUAGAUGUUUUUAACAAUUUUUGUAGUCAAAUAAAUAUAAAUAAAAAAAGAUGUGCAGAUGUAUUUUACUAUGCGUACAAUUUGUUGACAUUAAGCGACCCAGAAAAAGAUGAUGAUCAAAUUAAAGAAUUUUUAAACACAUGUAUGGAACCUAUUUAUGAUAGUGAAACAAAACAAAGUGCAACUAAUUCUGAUAUAAUAGCUAUAGCAGCAAAAGACAACUUAAAUAAUGAACAGACAACUCAUGAAGAUUUAUUGAUGCAACUUGAAGAAAGUUUAGAAAAUGAUAACAUAGUCGAUUGUACAAAAGCUUUUAACAAAUUAGCAACCGUUAAUUCAAAUAUUCCUAUUAAAUCAAAAUCCAGUUCUACAAUUUCUAAUUUAAUUUAUGGUGUAUUUUUAUUAAUACUUACAAUUUAUAUGUUUUAAUCAUUAUAUUUAAGUUAUAAUUUUUAAAAUACCAUAAUAGUUUAUCUCAUUUGUGCAUACCUAUUUAAUUAUGUAUAUAUACUUUUGUUCUGUAUUAAAAAAAAGGAUAUUACAUAGUUUAUUAAAUUCAUUAAAAAU